UCAGUGGCGCUUCUGUGGGCGGAUGUUCUGUCGUACAAGCAAUAAGAAAGAUUUCCGCACAGAGUGUGUGACAAGAGCGUCUACUGCAGUCAAUGAAACGCACAAGAAGGCAAGUUUAGAUAGUGCAACUCAUCAACGACAACAGCUACAAUUCCAACUAGACAUGAACCGCCUGGUAGUUAUACCUGUGGUGACACUAUUAUUACUUACUGCACUGCAACCAGUUGCCAUGAGCUCCGCUCCGAACUUCGAAGGUCCGGGUUAUGAAUUCGGCAAGAAAGCAGCAUCGUCUGAUUCUAACAGUAUCCGUGAGUUUAGCGAUGUACCGCAAGGCCUCACCCUGCAGCGCUCUGCAGAUCCACGCAGACAUCCGUUCGUCGCGAUGCACAGAUAAUAACUUGGUUUACAUCCCAUUACUCAUUUUUUGUGCAAGUAGUACUUUGUGCAAAUAAAGGAUGCUGUCAACACA